rnacentral:rRNA from 1 species
UACGUAGGGGGCAAGCGUUGUCCGGAUUUAUUGGGCGUAAAGAGCGUGUAGGCGGCCAGGUAGGUCUGCUGUGAAAACUCGAGGCUCAACCUCGAGACGUCGGCGGAAACCAUCUGGCUAGAGUCCGGAAGAGGAGAGUGGAAUUCCUGGUGUAGCGGUGAAAUGCGCAGAUAUCAGGAAGAACACCAGUGGCGAAGGCGGCUCGCUGGGACGGUACUGACGCUAAGGCGCGAAAGCGUGGGGAGCGAACAGG